rnacentral:lncRNA from 1 species
AAGAUUGCGCUCCCUAGCUUGGCAGGAAAAGUUUUUUGGGUUUUUUUUUUUUUUUUUUUGGCUUUUCUGUGCAUCCUACGGAGGGUCCCCAUCAUCCCCGCGGGGCGCACAGGAGUUGUGAAAAGUACCGCACAACUGGCCUCCGGAAUAAUUCAUCCCCUCCACCUUCUCUUUAGCGCCUCCCACUUCUUCUCUUUUUAUAGCAGUUUCUUUCUCUCGAAAAAUCUCAGGUUACUUGACUGGGAGUUCUCAGACCUCCAGUUUCAGCCCUGCCCUCAGCCUCCAGUCGUUGAGAGAGAGACACCCAGCCCCAGCAAUCGGAUUGGGCAGCCCGCCUUGACACACCACUGUGCUGAGUGCUUGAAGACGUGUUUCACCAGAUGGUUGGGGUUAGCGUGUGUCAUCACAUUCGAGUGGGGAUUAGGAGUAGGAAGGCUGCCUUGCCGGAGCUGUGUGGUCUUCUCCAAGGGAGAAUUGCGGGCAAGAGAACUCCUUUGCUCCGGGGAGAAGAGGAGGAAUUCGUUUUCCGCAGCCAAGAGAAAAGCAGUGUUUUCAGGUGCUGACGGCCAGCCCCAUCAUCUGAGGGAGGUGAAUUUGGCAAAUGACAUGCAGGUUCUCCAAGACAGAGUAAUCACAGAAAAUUGUCAAAGGGCAAGACCAACAGAAAAAUCAAAUACAAAUGGUAAAUACAUUCAAAGAGGUAUGAAGGCAGCAGAAGCAGGCGAUCUGCCCUCCAUCUAUCCCAGGAGACCUAGCAAGUGA